rnacentral:rRNA from 1 species
CUUUAUUGGAGAGUUUGAUCCUGGCUCAGGAUGAACGCUGGCGGCGUGCCUAAUACAUGCAAGUCGAGCGAAUGGAUUGAGAGCUUGCUCUCAAGAAGUUAGCGGCGGACGGGUGAGUAACACGUGGGUAACCUGCCCAUAAGACUGGGAUAACUCCGGGAAACCGGGGCUAAUACCGGAUAACAUUUUGAACUGCAUGGUUCGAAAUUGAAAGGCGGCUUCGGCUGUCACUUAUGGAUGGACCCGCGUC